GCCUAGUUAGCUUAGUUGGUAGUGCGUCUGCCUUGUAAGCGCUAGGCCGCGGGUUCGAUUCCUGCCCGAGGCG
rfam:Asian citrus Psyllid, Diaphorina citri - Florida Strain, whole genome shotgun sequence.